CCCCGCAACAAGUUCCACUACCCCACCGUCGACGCCGACCGCCUCUGGUCCCUCGGCCCCGACGGCAUCAAGGAUCCCGCCACAGCUUAUGACGGUAGCUCUGUCCUCUUGACCGGUAUCACCCCGCCUUGCUACUCCAAAAUUCACGGGCAGAAUAACUUCACCGACAGCCCCCGUUAUUAACCCCCUGUGGUUGAGGGAAUUCUUCCUUG
rnacentral:lncRNA from 1 species